rnacentral:rRNA from 1 species
CGAAUGCUGACAUAAGUAACGAUAAAGCGGGUGAAAAGCCCGCUCGCCGGAAGACCAAGGGUUCCUGUCCAACGUUAAUCGGGGCAGGGUGAGUCGACCCCUAAGGCGAGGCCGAAAGGCGUAGUCGAUGGGAAACAGGUUAAUAUUCCUGUACUUGGUGUUACUGCGAAGGGGGGACGGAGAAGGCUAUGUUGGCCGGGCGACGGUUGUCCCGGUUUAAGCGUGUAGGCUGGUUUUCCAGGCAAAUCCGGAAAAUCAAGGCUGAGGCGUGAUGACGAGGCACUACGGUGCUGAAGCAACAAAUGCCCUGCUUCCAGGAAAAGCCUCUAAGCAUCAGGUAACAUUAAAUCGUACCCCAAACCGACACAGGUGGUCAGGUAGAGAAUACCAAGGCGCUUGAGAGAACUCGGGUGAAGGAACUAGGCAAAAUGGUGCCGUAACUUCGGGAGAAGGCACGCUGAUAUGUAGGUGAAGCGACUUGCUC